GACGAACGCUGGCGGCGUGCUUAACACAUGCAAGUCGAACGGAAAGGCCCUGCUUUUGUGGGGUGCUCGAGUGGCGAACGGGUGAGUAACACGUGAGUAACCUGCCCUUGACUUUGGGAUAACUUCAGGAAACUGGGGCUAAUACCGGAUAGGAGCUCCUGCUGCAUGGUGGGGGUUGGAAAGUUUCGGCGGUUGGGGAUGGACUCGCGGCUUAUCAGCUUGUUGGUGGGGUAGUGGCUUACCAAGGCUUUGACGGGUAGCCGGCCUGAGAGGGUGACCGGCCACAAUGGGACUGAGGUACGGCCCAGACUCCUACGGGAGGCAGCAGUGGGGAAUAUUGCACAGUGGGCGGAAGCCUGAUGCAGCAACGCCGCGUGCGGGAUGACGGCCUUCGGGCUGUAAACCGCUUUCGCAUGUGACGAAGCGUGAGUGACGGUAAUGGGUAAAGAAGCACCGGCUAACUACGUG
rnacentral:rRNA from 1 species